UACGAGGGAUGCAAGCGUUAUCCGGAAUUAUUGGGCGUAAAGCGUUCGUAGGUGGCUAAGUUAGUCUGUCGUUAAAGCGUGGAGCUUAACUCCAUAUCGGCGAUGGAAACUGCUUGGCUAGAGUAUGGUAGGGGUAAGAGGAAUUCCCAGUGUAGCGGUGAAAUGCGUAGAUAUUGGGAAGAACACCAGCGGCGAAAGCGUCUUACUGGGCCAUUACUGACACUGAGGGACGAAAGCUAGGGGAGCGAAAGGG
rnacentral:rRNA from 1 species